rnacentral:rRNA from 1 species
UACGUAGGUGGCGAGCGUUGUCCGGAUUUAUUGGGCGUAAAGCGCGCGCAGGCGGCUGGCUAAGUCCGCUGUGAAAUCUCCCGGCUCAACUGGGAGGGGGCGGUGGAGACUGGCUGGCUGGAGGGACUCAGAGGCCGGUGGAAUUCCCGGUGUAGUGGUGAAAUGCGUAGAGAUCGGGAGGAACACCUGUGGCGAAGGCGGCCGGCUGGGGGUGCCCUGACGCUGAGGCGCGACAGCGUGGGGAGCGAACCG